AUUGAACGCUGGCGGUAUGCUUAACACAUGCAAGUCGAACGGUAACAGGCCUAGCUUGCUAGGUGCUGACGAGUGGCGGACGGGUGAGUAACGCGUAGGAAUCUACCUAAGAGUGGGGGAUAACCUGGGGAAACUCAGGCUAAUACCGCAUACGCCCUACGGGGUAAAGUUUGGGACCUUCGGGCCAAACGCUUUUAGAUGAGCCUGCGUCGGAUUAGCUUGUUGGUGGGGUAAAGGCCUACCAAGGCGACGAUCCGUAGCUGGUCUGAGAGGAUGAUCAGCCACACUGGGACUGAGACACGGCCCAG
rnacentral:rRNA from 1 species